rnacentral:rRNA from 1 species
GACGAACGCUGGCGGCGUGCUUAACACAUGCCAGUCGAACGGAAAGGCCCUGCUUUUGUGGGGUGCUCGAGUGGCGAACGGGUGAGUAACACGUGAGUAACCUGCCUUUGACUUUGGGAUAACUUCAGGAAACUGGGGCUAAUACCGGAUAGGAGCUCCUGCUGCAUGGUGGGGGUUGGAAAGUUUCGGCGGUUGGGGAUGGACUCGCGGCUUAUCAGCUUGUUGGUGGGGUAGUGGCUUACCAAGGCUUUGACGGGUAGCCGGCCUGAGAGGGUGACCGGCCACAUUGGGACUGAGAUACGGCCCAGACUCCUACGGGAGGCAGCAGUGGGGAAUAUUGCACAAUGGGCGGAAGCCUGAUGCAGCAACGCCGCGUGCGGGAUGACGGCCUUCGGGUUGUAAACCGCUUUCGCCUGUGACGAAGCGUGAGUGACGGUAAUGGGUAAAGAAGCACCGGCUAACUACGUG